UCCAUCUCUGCUUCUCUGCCGUGUCCGAAACCCUACUCCGCUUUCACAAAUAUAAAUCACGUACAAAACACCUCCUAGAAAUGACUAACACUGAUUGAUUUCACCAAAAUUAAAAUCCAGACAAUUUUAAUUCCAAAACCCUCAGUUGAGCACCGACGAUGGAUGGCAGGAAAAUCGACCAACUGGAAGAAAUAUCGUCGGCCAUUUGCUUCAAUGGAGUUCGAAGCUAUUGACUCAUUUUACAGGUACUCAGAAAAGAUCAAUUCGGAAAUCAGACACCAAAAGCCAGAGAUAAAUAUGUGAAGAAGUGGAAUAAUGAACUCAAAAGGAUAUGAACGAUUAACAAAGCUAAGUCACAAUUACCUCUACUGCUAUUUUUUUCCGGCAUUACGUAAAAGAAUAUGGAAAAUAUUCGACUAAUUUAAUAUCUUUAGAAAUAUUUACACAUAUUUUCUUUGAUUGAGGCCAAACACUAACUAUAUACUUCACCGGUGGAAUUUAAUUUGGACAAAAUGACAAAACCCUAGAGUUGAGGUAGAUGGCACACAGAGGCUUACCUAAUUGAAGGGAAUUACAGUGCAAUGAAGAUAAGUUUUUUCAACUUAAAUAAGAUUUCUUGUACUGUUUUUGUAUGUUGUAUUUUCAAAUACUUUGUCCCUUAUGAAUUGUGUGAUAUCCAUAUUUUAAAUUUUAAAAAUAUAUACGAUAAAAACUAUGUGUAUUGAAAUCAAAUGUGGAUAUAUUUGCUAUUUGUAUUUAGUUAUUUUAACAAAUAAAUUGCAUGACUAAGAUGAAAAGGAAUAGUACUCAUAUAUUGAUAGAAUUGUGAAGCUAAAGGCAGUUUAUGAGACAAAUAUAUACUGAAUCAUACAUAGUAAGUAAAACAUUUCCAUGUUAAAGCCUUAUCAAAUGUAAAGAGGUCAUUUGUAACAAUAGUUAAUAAAUUUAUAUGUGUUCUUUGAAUUAUACCUACAAACAAUUAGAUAUUAAAAUACUUGUAUUUGACUCCUCUAGUUUUCUCUUGCAACCUAUAGUUCUUGACCUCUCAAUCUUCAUUAUACUGUCAAACAAGAACUCAGAAUGAAAAACUGAAGAGUGAGUAUGAAUUUGAAGAAAUGUUUUCUUACACAUCUCAAAGUAGCUAUUUAUAGCCAUUUCCUAUAUUGGUAAUUGUAGUUGAAUGAUUACUAUGGCCUAGAGUUGUACUCAAAAGCAUUACCUAUUGCAUUGGGAAUAAAACUCCUCUGCAAUUUUGUUUUAAUUGUUAAAGAAAUCUGAUGAUUUAUAUCUCUGCAAUUUUGUUUUAAUGUUUCCUCUGCAUUACAUAUCUGUGUUUAUAUAUAUGAGUGUACAUACCUUAAAAAUCACCUCUGAAAACAUAAUAUUGAGCUUGAGAUAUUGUAUUGUGAGGUGGAACAUAGAACAAUUACGUGUAUAAAAUAAGACUCAAUUUUUUUAAAGGCAACUGCAUAUUAAACUAUUAGAAAUAGGGCAACUUAGACAUCAGUUUGUAUUAGAAA